GUUAGAGGCGUAGAAUUCUGUGGUUCGAGCUAGCGUGAGGCUAGGCAGUCGGUACCGAGCCGAGCGGCGGGAGGAGGAGCGGAAGCGGCAGCGGCAGAGGCGGUGGCGCGACCGGGUACCGGCGCUGGAGGGCUGAGUCUAGUUCGACUGGUUCCCGCCGCGGCACCACCCGCCGCUGUCGGUCCUCACGCACAUGUGCCACAUACACGCCUGCCCCCGCUAGACCUUCCGGCCCUGCCUGCGGUUGUAGUGCGACCUCGAGAUGUGGCGCCCGUUGCGGCUGCCGCACCGAUAGAGCCUGGACGGCAGCACCCCGCCCGAGUACACCGUCCCGGUGAGGAUAAAGCUCGCGCCGUUGGAGCUGUAGAAGUCGCCCGCGCCCGGCACGUACCGGUCGCGCGGGACGGCGUACUCCCACAGGAGGCUGCCGUGGCCGCGCGUGGUGCCGACCAUGACGUUGAUGCACCUCCAGUGGCAGUGGCCGGGCGUGGCGCCGACGCGGGUCGUCGAGAAGUGGCAGCUCGUCACCGAGCGGUGGCUGCGGCGCGGGAUGUUCGACCUCCGGCAGCAGCUGGCGACGGGUCGGCUACCGCGGCGGCUACGCAUUCUAGCUCAUGCGGCCGGAGGAGCACACAACACCAACCACCGCCCACCACCAUCGUUAUUCAACGCCCCGGCACGCACAGCCGGGGCACUAGGCGCACGUGGCGCGGCGCCGUGCCUCUAACAUGACGAUGAUCUACUCAAGCACGACGACCACCGCUUUAUUAGCUAGCCCUGGACUAAACAUGACACACGGUACUCACUCUCAACACUAAUCAACGCCACCGACAAAACAUGCAACUACUACAGCUAUACCUUAGAGGUAAACACACCUAGAAACAGGUACAAAAGU
rnacentral:rRNA from 1 species